GAUGAACGCUAGCGGGAGGCUUAACACAUGCAAGUCGAGGGGCAGCAUAGGGUAGCAAUACUCUGAUGGCGACCGGCAAACGGGUGAGUAACGCGUAUGCAACCUACCCUGUACAGGGGGAUAACCCGGAGAAAUUCGGACUAAUAUCCCGUAAUAAUAUCCGGAGGCAUCUUUGGAUAUUUAAAGUUCCGACGGUACGGGAUGGGCAUGCGUAACAUUAACUGGUUGGUAAGGUAACGGCUUACCAAGGCUAUGAUGUUUAGGGGUCCUGAGAGGGUGGUCCCCCACACUGGUACUGAGACACGGACCAGACUCCUACGGGAGGCAGCAGUGAGGAAUAUUGGUCAAUGGGCGCAAGCCUGAACCAGCCAUCCCGCGUGCAGGAAGACGGCCCUAUGGGUUGUAAACUGCUUUUUCCAGGGAGAGAAACUUACGCACGUGUUGCGUGACUGACGGUACCCUGGGAAUAAGCAUCGGCUAACUCCGUG
rnacentral:rRNA from 1 species